rnacentral:rRNA from 1 species
GACGUAGGGCGCGAGCGUUGUCCGGAUUUAUUGGGCGUAAAGAGCUCGUAGGCGGUUUGUCGCGUCUGCCGUGAAAGUCCGGGGCUCAACUCCGGAUCUGCGGUGGGUACGGGCAGACUAGAGUGUGGUAGGGGAGACUGGAAUUCCUGGUGUAGCGGUGAAAUGCGCAGAUAUCAGGAGGAACACCGGUGGCGAAGGCGGGUCUCUGGGCAACAACUGACGCUGAGGAGCGAAAGCGUGGGGAGCGAACAGG